AAAAAGUAAAAAAAAAGAAAGAAACAUGGCAUAUAUACAUAUAUAUAUAUAUAUAUAUAUAUGUGUGUGUGUAUAUCUCCACCAAAACUAGAUAAGAUUGAGAAGCUAAAAAGUGCAUGCUGGAAGGGACCGGAUAUAGAUCUCUCCUGAGAGACACAUCCAGAACAUGUCCAAUACAGAGGUCAAUGCUAGCAGCAAACCAUUCAACUGAGAACAGGACCCCCUUUGGGAGAAUUAGAGGAAUUAGAGAAAGGACUGAAAGAGCUGAAGGGGCUUGCAAUCCCAUAAGAACAACAGUGCCAACCAACCAGAGCUU
rnacentral:lncRNA from 1 species